rnacentral:rRNA from 1 species
AACGAACGCUGGCGGCAUGCUUAACACAUGCAAGUUGAACGCAGAAUAGGGCUUCGGCUCUAUUGCUGAGUAGCAAACGGGUGAGUAACGCGUGGGAAUCUACCUUCUUGUGGGGGAUAACUAAGGGAAACUUUAGCUAAUACCGCAUACGCUCUACGGAGGAAAGGCUUCGGCCGCAAGAAGAGGAGCCCGCGUCAGAUUAGGUAGUUGGUGGGGUAAAAGCCUACCAAGCCAAUGAUCUGUAGCUGGUCUGAGAGGAUGAUCAGCCACACUGGGACUGAGACACGGCCCAGACUCCUACGGGAGGCAGCAGUGGGGAAUAUUGGACAAUGGGGGAAACCCUGAUCCAGCAAUGCCGCGUGAAUGAAGAAGGCCUUAGGGUUGUAAAGUUCUUUCACCUGUGAAGAUAAUGACGGUAGCAGGAAAAGAAGCCCCGGCUAACUCCGUGCCAGCAGCCGCCGUAA